ACGAACGCUGGCGGCAUGCCUCACCCAUGCCAGUCGCACGAGACCUUCGGGUCUAGUGGCGCACGGGUGCGUCACGCGUGGGAACCUGCCCUUAGGUUCGGAAUAACUCCCCGAAAGGGGUGCUAAUACCGGAUAAUGUCUUCGGACCAAAGAUUUAUCGCCUUUGGAUGGGCCCGCGUUGGAUUAGCUAGUUGGUAGGGUAAAAGCCUACCAAGGCGACGAUCCAUAGCUGGUCUGAGAGGAUGAUCAGCCACACUGGGACUGAGACACGGCCCAGACUCCUACGGGAGGCAGCAGUGGGGAAUAUUGGACAAUGGGCGAAAGCCUGAUCCAGCAAUGCCGCGUGAGUGAUGAAGGCCUUAGGGUUGUAAAGCUCUUUUACCCGGGAUGAUAAUGACAGUACCGGGAGAAUAAGCGCCGGCUAACUCCGUG
rnacentral:rRNA from 1 species